rnacentral:misc_RNA from 1 species
GAUGAAGAACGUAGCGAAAUGCGAUAAGUAAUGUGAAUUGCAGAAUUCAGUGAAUCAUCGAAUCUUUGAACGCACAUUGCGCCCGUCAGUAUUCUGGCGGGCAUGCCUGUUCGAGCGUCAUUACGCCCCUCAAGUCCCCUGUGGACUUGGUGUUGGGGAUCUGCGAGGCUGGUUUUCCAGCACAGCCGUCCCUUAAAUUAAUUGGCGGUCUCGCCGUGGCCCUCCUCUGCGCAGUAGUAAAACACUCGCAACAGGAGCCCGGCGCGGUCCACUGCCGUAAAACCCCCCAACUUUUUAUAGUUGACCUCGAAUCAGGUAGGACUACCCGCUGAACUUAAGCAUAUCAAUAAGCGGAGGA